rnacentral:rRNA from 1 species
GGUCUAGCUUGCUAUAUGCUGACAAGCGGCGGACGGGUGCGUAACACGUACGAAUCUACCCAGUAGAGGGGGAUAGCCCGGAGAAAUCCGGAUUAAUACCGCAUACGCCCUAAGGGGGAAAGCAGGGGAUCUUCGGACCUUGCGCUAUUGGAGGAGCCUGCGUCGGAUUAGCUAGUUGGUGGGGUAAAGGCCUACCAAGGCGACGAUCCGUAGCUGGUCUGAGAGGAUGAUCAGCCACACUGGGACUGAGACACGGCCCAGACUCCUACGGGAGGCAGCAGUGGGGAAUAUUGCACAAUGGGGGAAACCCUGAUGCAGCCAUGCCGCGUGUGUGAAGAAGGCUUUAGGGUUGUAAAGCACUUUCAGCGAGGAGGAAAGGUUUAAGGCUAAUACCCUUGAGCUGUGACGUUACUCGCAGAAGAAGCACCGGCUAACUCCGUGCCAGCAGCCGCGGUAAUACGGAGGGUGCGAGCGUUAAUCGGAAUUACUGGGCGUAAAGAGUACGUAGGCGGCUAUUUAAGUGGGAUGUGAAAGCCCUGGGCUCAACCUAGGAACUGCA